GGGCUUUAGUGACGUUGACCAGUAAAGCCGAGCCGAUGAGUGAGCGCUUACAUGAGAGAGUCUAAUACAAUACCAAGGAACUUAAUACUAUCUGUACACAAAAUGUUUGUAUUAUCAAAUGUGAGCGUUGGGAUAGUACAUUGAUGUUUUUUACAAAUAUGAAAAAGUUUCGAUUUAGGAAAAGAUAUUGAUGUGCCUGAAGUAGAGGACCAACGAGAAAGACGCAAUAAAAUUUCAGAGAAAGUAAUUGUUACUGAAGUCAAAUUUGAAGUUUUUGAGAAUAAAAUUAAAUCAUCAGCAUAAAUCUGAUGCCGGAUAGUAACAAAAUCUGAUAGAAUGGUACUGAUUUCAUCAAAUGCAAUAGUAAAUAGGAUCACCGAGAGCGGUGACCCUUGUGGGGUACCAUUAUCUAAUGGUAGAACAGAGGAUGAAACAUUGGAUAUGAUAACACUUAAUUUACGGUUGGAUAGGAAAGAUUUGACAAAGUUAAAAAUACGAGAACCCACUCUCCACCUACUAAGCUGUCUUAACACUACAUGAAUCCCAAUCCUGUCAAAUGCUUUUAGGAAAUCUAAAGAAAGAAUAGAAACAUGAUUUUUGUGGGAGAGAGUAUCAGAGAUAAAGUGAUCAAGGUGCAGGAGAGCAUCCAACGUACCCUGCCCCCUCUUGAACGCAACUUGGUUGUGCGAAAUGAGAUUAUUAGAUUGAGCAUACCAGGCGAGUCUAGUAGCAAUAAUCUUUUCAAUCAAUUUACCAAGGCAAGGAAGAAGGGAAAUGGGACGAUAACUGCUGACCACACCAGGAGGUUUACCAGGUUUUAAAAUAGGAAUAAUCGCGCUAGUCUUCCAGAGGACAGGGUAGUUGCCACUGAGAAAAAUACUAUUGUAAAGUUUGACUAGACGGGAUAUAAGGAAUGGAGGAAGGUGCUUGAUGAUAAGGUAAGAGAUUUUAUCAAUGCCAGGAGUUUUGCCCUUGACUGACGAGAGGGCUAAAUUAAAAUCAAGUUCAGAUAUAUCGGCAUCUAAAUAUUCAGCUGAUUGAGACAAGGUGGAAGGAGGAAGGAACGGAGAGCAAAGAGAAGAAAGUUUACUAGAGGAAAAAUCAGAAGAGAAAUUGGAGUCCAAAGAAAUAUUGGAAAAGUGGGUGGCAAACUCUAAGGCUAUAUCUUUGGGAUAUAGUAGAGUGCCCCGAGGAGUAUUUAAAUAAGUGAUAGGAGAAGAAGGUGAUAAACCAGCAAGUCUUUUCAUAUCAGUCCAGAUUUUUCUAGAAUCCGAAGAAGAAGUGAUAUUAUUCGUAAAUUCUUGGAAACAAUGAACCUUAGCAGCCUUAGCUUUAUGGCGAAAAAAAGCAUUGGAUUUUUUGUAAGCUAUUAAGUUUGCACUAGAACGUAAACGUUUAAAUUGAUGCCAUGCGAUCUGUUUCAGAUUUCUUAGUGCAGAAAGCUCAUUAUUCCACCAAAGAGGAGCAAGCUUGACUGGUUUAGAAGAAGAAAGGGGAAAAGAAUAGUUAGAAGCAGAACGUAUAAUUUUUUGGAUUCUAGAAGCCUCUUGAUUUAUAUUGGAAGAAAAGGGGAAAUAACGUGAAUGCGAUAAACAGGCUUCUUCAAACCUAUCCCAAUCAGCCGAAUCAGUUUUAAACCGAAUCCUGGGCUUAAAAAAUGAAUGAGGGCGAGAAGUAGAUAUUUUGGAAAGGAUGGGAAAAUGAUCACUGCCAUGGAGAUCAUCAAUACAACACCAGGAUAUUUUUGAGGAGAGGGAGGCAGAACAUAUGGAAAGAUCAAUAUUAAAUAAAUAAUAAAUAAUGAAUAAGCACAGAUGAUUGAAAUUUUAUAGGGGGCGAGGAUCUCAAUAGCUACAGAAGAAAAAAUUGAAAGGGGUAUGGGAAGUAAUACGUGAGGUAGAUUUCUUUUAACUAGGAUGGCAACUCCCUGCUUGUUGGUGGUGUUAUGUGGGAGAUUAAUAAAAUAUCCCACAUAAGCCCUAGGGGUAAAAGCUGAGGCAUUAUAAGAUAGGUGAGUUUCAUUCAACAGGAUAAUAGAUGGAUUGUACGAUCCCAUAAGUAACUCUAAGUUAAUAUAAUUAUUAACAUAACCGUUAAUGUUCCAUUGAAGAAGUGUAAUCAUAUCAUAUGUAAACUUAUAAAAGAAAAAAGUUAA